rnacentral:tRNA from 1 species
GGUCAGGUAGCUCAGUUGGUAGAGCGCUGGUCUGAAAAACCAGAGGUCGGCGGAUCGAUCCCGCCCCUGACCA